AACAGAUUCAGAUAGUCCGACCUCCCACUCUAAGGGACUGUUUGAUUGCAUAUAUUUUUAACCACAGUACAGUUGAAAAUAUAUGUAUUUAUUAAAUUUUUAUCUGGUUUGGUAUAGUUAGGCAUUUAGGCUCAACUACUGCAAUUGCAUUUGCACAAAAAGAUCCAACUGCAACAGUUAGGCCGGAGUCGGCUCAUCCAUUAAAAAAAUUAAUAAAGUGUGAUUUUUUUCGUUCGCUUUUUUUUUUAUUUUUUUUAUUUCAAGAAUACAUAUUCAUGAAAUUUGCUAGAGUUUAAUAAUGUACGUUAGGUUCAAUAAAUUUUUUUUCAUACGCUUUUUUUUUUUUCCAGUAUGCUAGUUCAAUAAUAUUUUAAUUUUUAUUUUGACCAAAUCUAUAAUAUGUUUGUAUUUAAAAUUUAUUAAAUUCAUACGUAAUUUUAAAAUAUAUAAAUUAUAUAUAGAUAUAAAAGUUUUAAUUAAUAAUUAAAAGAUCACAUGAUUAUAUUAUGUUCAGAAAAGGUAAUCUCACAUUCCUAUCUAAAAAUUGAUAGAAUUUAGAAAUACAAAUCUCAACUGCAGCCUACUAAACAGGAGAAAUAUAAUUGCAGCAGCAUUUGCAACUAUAUGUAAUUCCAACUAUACUAUUUUUAUAACUAUAUUGGACUAAUAAAU
rnacentral:lncRNA from 1 species